GCCAGUGUGGUGUAGUGGUUUGAGUGUUGGACUAUGACUCUGGAGAUCCAGGGUUCAACUCCGGACUCAGUCA